rnacentral:rRNA from 1 species
UACGUAGGGCGCAAGCGUUGUCCGGAAUUAUUGGGCGUAAAGAGCUCGUAGGCGGUCUGUCGCGUCUGUUGUGAAAACUCGAGGCUCAACCUCGGGCUUGCAGUGGAUACGGGCAGACUAAAGUGCGGUAGGGGAGACUGGAAUUCCUGGUGUAGCGGUGGAAUGCGCAGAUAUCAGGAGGAACACCGAUGGCGAAGGCAGGUCUCUGGGCCGCAACUGACGCUGAGGAGCGAAAGCAUGGGGAGCGAACAGG